AGCCCAUGAAAAGGGAAAAGCCUUAACAAAUCCUUAUAAUGCCCUGACGCAUCAAAAAAUGAUUCCCUUUCUUUUUGUCUAAAAUUAUUAAUCUCAUUCCUAACUUU